AAUGAACGCUGGCGGCGUGCCUUACACAUGCAAGUCGAGCGAGGCGGCCCGCAAGGGUCAGUCGAGCGGCGGACGGGUGAGUAACGCGUGGAUAACCUGCCCAGAGGUGGGGGAUAACCCGGGGAAACUCGGGCUAAUACCGCAUGAUACCGAGAGGUCAAAGGGGGCUCGCAAGAGCUCUCGCCAUUGGAGGGGUCCNCGUCCGAUUAGCUAGUUGGUAGGGUAAUGGCCUACCAAGGCGACGACGGGUAGCCGGCCUGAGAGGGCGACCGGCCACACUGGGACUGAGACACGGCCCAGACUCCUACGGGAGGCAGCAGUGGGGAAUCUUGCGCAAUGGGCGAAAGCCUGACGCAGCGACGCCGCGUGAGGGACGACGGCC
rnacentral:rRNA from 1 species